rnacentral:rRNA from 1 species
UACGUAGGGGGCAAGCGUUGUUCGGAAUUACUGGGCGUAAAGCGUGCGUAGACGGUUAUUUAAGUCGGGUGUGAAAGCCCCGGGCUCAACCUGGGAAUUGCAUUCGAGACUGAAUAGCUAGGGGUACGGUAGAGGGAAGCGGAAUUUCCGGUGUAGCGGUGAAAUGCGUAGAUAUCGGAAGGAACAUCAGUGGCGAAAGCGGCUUCCUGGACCAGUACCGACGUCAGGCACGAAAGCGUGGGGAGCAAACAGG